rnacentral:rRNA from 1 species
CUACGGGUCGCUCCAGUGGGGAGUAUUGCACAAUGGGCGCAAGCCUGAUGCAGCCAUGCCGCGUGUAUGAAGAAGGCCUUCGGGUUGUAAAGUACUUUCAGCGGGGAGGAAGGGAGUAAAGUUAAUACCUUUGCUCAUUGACGUUACCCGCAGAAGAAGCACCGGCUAACUCCGUGCCAGCGGCCGCGGUAAUACGGAGGGUGCAAGCGUUAAUCGGAAUUACUGGGCGUAAAGCGCACGCAGGCGGUUUGUUAAGUCAGAUGUGAAAUCCCCGGGCUCAACCUGGGAACUGCAUCUGAUACUGGCAAGCUUGAGUCUCGUAGAGGGGGGUAGAAUUCCAGGUGUAGCGGUGAAAUGCGUAGAGAUCUGGAGGAAUACCGGUGGCGAAGGCGGCCCCCUGGACGAAGACUGACGCUCAGGUGCGAAAGCGUGGGGAGCAAACAGGAUUAGAUACCCCCGUAGUC